rnacentral:rRNA from 1 species
AGUGAACGCUGGCGGUAGGCCUAACACACGCAAGUCGAACGGCAGCACAGUAAGAGCUUGCUCUUACGGGUGGCGAGUGGCGGACGGGUGAGGAAUACAUCGGAAUCUACUUUUUCGUGGGGGAUAACGUAGGGAAACUUACGCUAAUACCGCAUACGACCUACGGGUGAAAGCAGGGGAUCUUCGGACCUUGCGCGAUUGAAUGAGCCGAUGUCGGAUUAGCUAGUUGGCGGGGUAAAGGCCCACCAAGGCGACGAUCCGUAGCUGGUCUGAGAGGAUGAUCAGCCACACUGGAACUGAGACACGGUCCAGACUCCUACGGGAGGCAGCAGUGGGGAAUAUUGGACAAUGGGCGCAAGCCUGAUCCAGCCAUACCGCGUGGGUGAAGAAGGCCUUCGGGUUGUAAAGCCCUUUUGUUGGGAAAGAAAAGCAGCAGGUUAAUACCCCGCUGUUCUGACGGUACCCAAAGAAUAGGCACCGGCUAACUUCGUG